rnacentral:rRNA from 1 species
AUUGAACGCUGGCGGCAGGCUUAACACAUGCAAGUCGAACGAGUGGCGGACGGGUGAGUAAUGCUUGGGAAUCUGGCUUAUGGAGGGGGAUAACGACGGGAAACUGUCGCUAAUACCGCGUACCAUAGGAUGAGCCCAAGUGGGAUUAGGUAGUGGGUGGGGUAAUGGCCUACCAAGCCGACGAUCUCUAGCUGGUCUGAGAGGAUGACCACCCCCACCGGGACUUAGACACGGCCCGGAGUCCUUCAAGAUCCAUCAUUAUACAAUAUUGCGCAGUUGGGGCAACCUGACCCAGCCAUGCCGCGUGAAUGAAGAAUUCCUUCGGGUUUUAAAGUUCUUUCGGUAGCGAGGCGUUAACUACAGAAGAAGCACCGGCUAACUCCGUGCCAGCAGCCGCGGUAAUAC